rnacentral:hammerhead_ribozyme from 1 species
AUCCAGUUUAUGAUUCCCAAAUAGGACGAAAUGCGCGUCCUGGAU